ensembl:lncRNA
ACUGGUCUAUUUUGGGGGAAAAAAUGGUGUUUUUUACUAAAAGGGGGUAUGCUAAGCACCCCAUAACUUCCCCCAUGCAGGCAGUGGGGCUGCCUGUAUCCCACAGACCCUCUCCCCUCCAUCCCUGCCUAAUUAAGCCCCGCUCCACAAAGCUCGUUAGGGCCUCAUUAGGCCGUUAGGACUCUCAUUAACCCCUGCCCAGUGUCCUUGCUCUGCUAACACAUCCCACAAAGCCAUAAUUACGACAAAGCCGAGCUCCAGCUAACGAGCUCCAGGUAACGAGCUCCUCAGGCGCCAGCAGCAUCCCAUCCCUUGUUUUAUUUUAUUUUAUUUUAUCCAAUUUUAUAAUCCCCUCCUUCCCCUCCCUGCUUCCUCUGCUCGUUUAUUUAUGGGCCUUUUAUUGCGAUGGAUAUUUGCACGGAAGCUGUUUCCUGCUGUUCCCGCAUCCUCGGGUCGGGAUGCGGCGGUUUCCAUGGCAACGCAGCGCGAUGCUGCAGAGGACCGCGCUGCCGUCAGGUGCUGCAAAUCCAAAGCCUGUGUGCCCCGUGGAUCCGUCAGCCCUGGUUUCCCUUCAGGUGUCUCCUUGGAGAAAAAGAGAAGAAAUGAAGAUGUUCCAGCGAUGACCACAAAGGCCUUUCCCUCCCCCCCCCCUUUUUGCCCCCAGAACCAGGGCUGGUCGCACCACGCACACACAGCGUGGUUCAGCACAUGGGGUGCAGCGUGGUGGGGAUGGUGGGGAUGGGUUGGGGUUGGAGUGGAUGAUCUCAGAGGUCUUUUCCAACCUGAAUGACUCCGUGGGCCUCUGAGCGGCCGCGGUCGUGGUCGGCUGAUGGUUGGACUGGAUGACCUCACUGCUCUUCUCCAACCUGAGCGACUCCAUGUGUGCAAACGGUGGGGAUGAGCUGGCGGUUGGACUGGACGACCUUCGUGCUCUUUUUCCACCUUAACGACUCCAUGACUGUGAUUCCACCCCAAUGCAACGCACCCACCUGCUGCAGAAAGCCCCACACUACUCCCAUCACCCGGACCUUUGGGGAUCCGCAACGGAGCCUCCAAACGCCCCUCCAGCACCGCACGGUGCUCAGCCCGGGGCUGGGAGCAGGAUGAGAUGAAUUCCAGCCUGGCCCACGUGCUGCCUCUCGCCGAUGAUUUGCAGCGCAGCGCAGCCCCGCUCGCUGCGUGCCUCCUCCAAACGCCUCCGUCUGACCCGGCUCAAGUUCUCCCCAGCACUAAUUGAUUUCUGCUUCCUGCCGGUUCCCUUCCAGCCCCCCGCCAGCCCCCAGCCCUCGGGAACCCGCAGACAAAGCCUCCGGGCUCUCAGUUUCCUGCACUCAACCUCCAACCAUCUGAUCAAGUGUC